rnacentral:rRNA from 1 species
AGGGCGAGAUAGUUAGUUGAUGUAGACCCGAAACCAAGUGACCUACCCAUGACCAGGUUGAAGGUGCGGUAAAACGCACUGGAGGACCGAACCCACGUAAGUUAAAAAUUGCGGGGAUGAGUUGUGGGUAGCGGUGAAAUUCCAAACGAACUUGGAGAUAGCUGGUUCUCUCCGAAAUAGCUUUAGGGCUAGCCUGGUGCGAGGAUGAUAAUGGAGGUAGAGCUCUGUUUGGAUGAGGGGCCCAUCAAGGGUUACUGAGUUCAGAUAAACUGCGAAUACCAUAUAUCAAAGCACUGGAGUCAGACUGCGAGUGAUAAGAUCCGUAGUCGAAAGGGAAACAGCCCAGAUCACCAGUUAAGGUCCCAAAAUCUAUGCUAAGUGGAAAAGGAUGUGGAGUUGCGUAGACAACUAGGAUGUUGGCUUAGAAGCAGCCAUCAUUAAAAGAGUGCGUAAUAGCUCA